rnacentral:misc_RNA from 1 species
GAUGAAGAACGUAGCGAAAUGCGAUAAGUAAUGCGAAUUGCAGAAUUUCCGUGAGUCAUCGAAUCUUUGAACGCACAUUGCGCCCUUUGGUAUUCCUUAGGGCAUGCCUGUUCGAGCGUCAUUUAAACCUUCAAGCUCAGCUUGGUGUUGGGUGACUGUCCGCCGCCUCCGGGCGCGUGGACUCGCCUCAAAAUUAUUGGCGGCCGGUACAUUGGCUUCGAGCGCAGCAGAAACGCGAACUCGGGCCCGUCGUAUUGGCUCCCAGAAGCUAUCUUCACAAUUUUGACCUCGGAUCAGGUAGGGAUACCCGCUGAACUUAAGCAUAUCAAUAAGCGGAGGA